GCAUGGACGAAUUCUGCAUUAGCUUUCCACAGUAGCUAAUGCAGUCAGACACUGUGCAAGAACAUACUCCCUUUUCACACUCUGGUUGGUAUGCUUUUGGAUGAAAGUGGGCAUGCCUGUGGAAGUGGGAUACAU